rnacentral:tRNA from 1 species
ACGGGUUUAGCUCAGAUGGUAGAGCGGGAGUCUCCAAAACUUCAGGUCGUCGGUUCGAUCCCGACAGCCCGUGCCA